UACAGAGGUCUCAAGCGUUGUUCGGAUUCAUUGGGCGUAAAGGGUGCGUAGGCGGCGCGGUAAGUCGGGUGUGAAAUCUCGGAGCUUAACUCCGAAACUGCAUUCGAUACUGCGGUGCUUGAGGACUGGAGAGGAGACUGGAAUUCAUGGUGUAGCAGUGAAAUGCGUAGAGAUCAUGAGGAAGACCAGUGGCGAAGGCGGGUCUCUGGACAGUUCCUGACACUGAGGCACGAAGGCCAGGGAGCAAACGGG
rnacentral:rRNA from 1 species